rnacentral:rRNA from 1 species
GGAGCUUGCUCCCGGACGUUAGCGGCGGACGGGUGAGUAACACGUAGGUAACCUGCCCCUUAGACUGGGAUAACUCCGGGAAACCGGAGCUAAUACGGGAUAAUAAAGAGAAUCACCUGAUUUUCUUUUGAAAGACGGUUUCGGCUGUCACUAAGGGAUGGGCCUGCGGCGCAUUAGCUAGUUGGUAAGGUAACGGCUUACCAAGGCGACGAUGCGUAGCCGACCUGAGAGGGUGAUCGGCCACACUGGGACUGAGACACGGCCCAGACUCCUACGGGAGGCAGCAGUAGGGAAUCUUCCGCAAUGGACGAAAGUCUGACGGAGCAACGCCGCGUGAGUGAGGAAGGCCUUCGGGUCGUAAAGCUCUGUUGUGAGGGAAGAACAAGUACCGGGAGUAACUACCGGUACCUUGACGGUACCUCACCAGAGGCCACGGCUAACUACGUGCCAGCAGCCGCGGUAAUACGUAGGUGGGCAAGCGUUGUCCGGGAAUUAUUGGGCGUAAAGCGCGCGCAGGCGGCUUCUUAAGUCUGAUGUGAAAUCUCGGGGCUCAACCCCGAGCGGCCAUUGGAAACUGGGAAGCUUGAGUGCAGAAGAGGAG